rnacentral:rRNA from 1 species
AAGGGCGCACGGUGGAUGCCUUGGCACUAGAAGCCGACGAAGGACGUUACUAACGACGAUAUGCUUUGGGUAGCUGUAAGUAAGCGUUGAUCCAGAGAUUUCCGAAUGGGGGAACCCAGCACGAGUUAUGUCGUGUUAUCGACAAGUGAAUUCAUAGCUUGUCAGAAGGCAGACCCGGAGAACUGAAACAUCUUAGUACCCGGAGGAAGAGAAAGAAAAAUCGAUUCCCUGAGUAGCGGCGAGCGAAACGGGAAGAGCCCAAACCAAUAAGCUUGCUUAUUGGGGUUGUAGGACACUCUAUACGGAGUUACAAAGGAAUAUAUUAGACGAAUCAUCUGGAAAGUUGAAUCAAAGAAGGUAAUAAUCCUGUAGUUGAAAAUAUAUUCUCUCUUGAGUGGAUCCUGAGUACGACGGAGCACGUGAAAUUCCGUCGGAAUCUGGGAGGACCAUCUCCUAAGGCUAAAUACUCUCUAGUGACCGAUAGUGAACCAGUACCGUGAGGGAAAGGUGAAAAGUACCCCGGAAGGGGAGUGAAAGAGAACUUGAAACCGUGUGCUUACAAGUAGUCAGAGCCCGUUAAUGGGUGAUGGCGUGCCUUUUGUAGAAUGAACCGGCGAGUUACGAUCUGAUGCAAGGUUAAGCAGGAGAUGUGGAGCCGUAGCGAAAGCGAGUCUGAAUAGGGCGUUGAGUAUUUGGUCGUAGACCCGAAACCAGGUGAUCUACCCAUGGUCAGGUUGAAGUUCAGGUAACACUGAAUGGAGGACCGAACCGACUUACGUUGAAAAGUGAGCGGAUGAACUGUGGGUAGCGGAGAAAUUCCAAUCGAACUUGGAGAUAGCUGGUUCUCUCCGAAAUAGCUUUAGGGCUAGCCUCAAGUGAUGAUUAUUGGAGGUAGAGCACUGUUUGGACGAGGGGCCCCUCUCGGGUUACCGAAUUCAGACAAACUCCGAAUGCCAAUUAAUUUAACUUGGGAGUCAGAACAUGGGUGAUAAGGUCCGUGUUCGAAAGGGAAACAGCCCAGACCACCAGCUAAGGUCCCAAAAUAUAUGUUAAGUGGAAAAGGAUGUGGCGUUGCCCAGACAACUAGGAUGUUGGCUUAGAAGCAGCCAUCAUUUAAAGAGUGCGUAAUAGCUCACUAGUCGAGUGACACUGCGCCGAAAAUGUACCGGGGCUAAACAUAUUACCGAAGCUGUGGAUUGUCCGUAGGACAAUGGUAGGAGAGCGUUCUAAGGGCGUUGAAGCAUGAUCGCAAGGACAUGUGGAGCGCUUAGAAGUGAGAAUGCCGGUGUGAGUAGCGAAAGACGGGUGAGAAUCCCGUCCACCGAUUGACUAAGGUUUCCAGAGGAAGGCUCGUCCGCUCUGGGUUAGUCGGGUCCUAAGCUGAGGCCGACAGGCGUAGGCGAUGGAUAACAGGUUGAUAUUCCUGUACCACCUAGCAUCGUUUUAAUCGAUGGGGGGACGCAGUAGGAUAGGCGAAGCGUACGAUUGGAUUGUACGUCUAUNNNNNNNNNNNNNNNNNNNNNNNNNNNNNNNNNNNNNNNNNNNNNNNNNNNNNNNNNNNNNNNNNNNNNNNNNNNNNNNNNNNNNNNNNNNNNNNNGGUUAGCUUCUGCGAAGCUACGAAUCGAAGCCCCAGUAAACGGCGGCCGUAACUAUAACGGUCCUAAGGUAGCGAAAUUCCUUGUCGGGUAAGUUCCGACCCGCACGAAAGGCGUAACGAUUUGGGCACUGUCUCAACGAGAGACUCGGUGAAAUCAUAGUACCUGUGAAGAUGCAGGUUACCCGCGACAGGACGGAAAGACCCCGUGGAGCUUUACUGUAGCCUGAUAUUGAAAUUCGGCACAGCUUGUACAGGAUAGGUAGGAGCCUUUGAAACGUGAGCGCUAGCUUACGUGGAGGCGCUGGUGGGAUACUACCCUAGCUGUGUUGGCUUUCUAACCCGCACCACUUAUCGUGGUGGGAGACAGUGUCAGGCGGGCAGUUUGACUGGGGCGGUCGCCUCCUAAAAGGUAACGGAGGCGCUCAAAGGUUCCCUCAGAAUGGUUGGAAAUCAUUCAUAGAGUGUAAAGGCAUAAGGGAGCUUGACUGCGAGACCUACAAGUCGAGCAGGGUCGAAAGACGGACUUAGUGAUCCGGUGGUUCCGCAUGGAAGGGCCAUCGCUCAACGGAUAAAAGCUACCCCGGGGAUAACAGGCUUAUCUCCCCCAAGAGUUCACAUCGACGGGGAGGUUUGGCACCUCGAUGUCGGCUCAUCGCAUCCUGGGGCUGUAGUCGGUCCCAAGGGUUGGGCUGUUCGCCCAUUAAAGCGGUACGCGAGCUGGGUUCAGAACGUCGUGAGACAGUUCGGUCCCUAUCCGUCGUGGGCGUAGGAAAUUUGAGAGGAGCUGUCCUUAGUACGAGAGGACCGGGAUGGACAUACCUCUGGUGUACCAGUUGUCGUGCCAACGGCAUAGCUGGGUAGCUAUGUAUGGACGGGAUAAGUGCUGAAAGCAUCUAAGCAUGAAGCCCCCCUCAAGAUGAGAUUUCCCAACUUCGGUUAUAAGAUCCCUCAAAGAUGAUGAGGUUAAUAGGUUCGAGGUGGAAGCGUGGUGACACGUGGAGCUGACGAAUACUAAUCGAUCGAAGACUUAAUCAAUUU